GUCUACGGCCAUGCUACCCUGAACAAGCCUGAUCCUGUCUGAUCUCGGAAGCUAAGCAGGGUUGGGCCUGGUUAGUACUUGGAUGGGAGACCACCUAGGAAGACCAGGUGCUUUAGGUG
rnacentral:rRNA from 1 species